GCCGGGCGUGGCUGCACACACCUCUAAUCCCAGUAGCUCUGGAGGCUGAGGCAGGAGGAUUGCAAGUUCAAGGCUGGCCUCAGCAAUUUCAGUGAGGCCCUGAGCAACUCAAUAAGACCCUGUCUCAA
rnacentral:sRNA from 1 species